rnacentral:rRNA from 1 species
GACAGAGGCCUCAAGCGUUAGGCGGAAUCACUGGGCUUAAAGCGUGUGUAGGCGGACUUCUAAGUGCCUUGUGAAAUCCCACGGCUCAACCGUGGAACUGCUGGGCAUACUGGGAGUCUUGGGCCAUUCAGGGGCAACUGGAACAAGCGGUGGAGCGGUGAAAUGCGUAGAUAUCGCUUGGAACGCCGAAGGUGAAAACAGGUUGCUGGGGAUGUG